rnacentral:rRNA from 1 species
AGCCCGUUAAUGGGUGAUGGCGUGCCUUUUGUAGAAUGAACCGGCGAGUUACGAUUUGAUGCAAGGUUAAGCAGUAAAUGUGGAGCCGUAGCGAAAGCGAGUCUGAAUAGGGCGUUUAGUAUUUGGGCGUAGACCCGAAACCAGGUGAUCUACCCUUGGUCAGGUUGAAGUUCAGGUAACACUGAAUGGAGGACCGAACCGACUUACGUUGAAAAGUGAGCGGAUGAACUGAGGGUAGCGGAGAAAUUCCAAUCGAACCUGGAGAUAGCUGGUUCUCUCCGAAAUAGCUUUAGGGCUAGCCUCAAGUGAUGAUUAUUGGAGGUAGAGCACUGUUUGGACGAGGGGCCCCUCUCGGGUUACCGAAUUCAGACAAACUCCGAAUGCCAAUUAAUUUAACUUGGGAGUCAGAACAUGGGUGAUAAGGUCCGUGUUCGAAAGGGAAACAGCCCAGACCACCAGCUAAGGUCCCAAAAUAUAUGUUAAGUGGAAAAGGAUGUGGCGUUGCCCAGACAACUAGGAUGUUGGCUUAGAAGCAGCCAUCAUUUAAAGAGUGCGUAAUAGCUCACUAGUCGAGUGACACUGCGCCGAAAAUGUACCGGGGCUAAACAUAUUACCGAAGCUGUGGAUUGUCCUUUGGACAAUGGUAGGAGAGCGUUCUAAGGGCGUUGAAGCAUGAUCGUAAGGACAUGUGGAGCGCUUAGAAGUGAGAAUGCCGGUGUGAGUAGCGAAAGACGGGUGAGAAUCCCGUCCACCGAUUGACUAAGGUUUCCAGAGGAAGGCUCGUCCGCUCUGGGUUAGUCGGGUCCUAAGCUGAGGCCGACAGGCGUAGGCGAUGGAUAACAGGUUGAUAUUCCUGUACCACCUAUAAUCGUUUUAAUCGAUGGGGGGACGCAGUAGGAUAGGCGAAGCGUGCGAUUGGAUUGCACGUCUAAGCAGUAAGGCCGAGUAUUAGGCAAAUCCGGUACUCGUUAAUGCUGAGCUGUGAUGGGGAGAAGACAUUGUGUCUUCGAGUCGUUGAUUUCACACUGCCGAGAAAAGCCUCUAGAUAGAAAAUAGGUGCCCGUACCGCAAACCGACACAAGUAGACAAGAUGAGAAUUCUAACUUGAGCGUGU